ensembl:lncRNA
GAAGAAGAACGUUCCAUCAGAGCUUCCAUCUGUCUGCUGCUCGGUGUGUGGGAUGUCGGAGGCCACCUGAACGCAGCACGGACUCACCUGCCUCCCCAGCAGCCUCCUCACUGCUGAUCAACCUGCUGGAGCUGAACUCUGUGGCCUCGGCUUCUUCUCACAGCUGGACAUGCUGCUGGAAUCUGUUCUCAGGGUCUUCUGGAUCUGCUUCCUGCUCCUCAGCUCUGGAGCUUGUUACCCUUUUCUAAUUAAAGGUCAAACAGGUUCUGGAGGAGCUGGUGGAGGAACUGGAGGAGCUGGUGGAGGAGCUGGUGCUGGUGGUUCUGGGGGAUCUGGUGGUUCUGGAGGAUCUGGUGGUUCAGGAGGCUCUGGUUUCUUCAGCAGUUCUUUGCCCUUUGGAUCUGCAGGAUUUACUCCUUUGAUUAACUACCCACAGGGGUUCUCCUACGAUAUAAAUGACUUGAGACCAAGGUUUGUCCGUCUCCCAGACCCCUCAGUCUGGAUCCCUGAUAACAUUCCCACCGACCCCUUCCCAUUGGUUGUUCGUGGUCCUACGUCCUACAUCGUCCAGUCUAGUAACGGCUACCAGCGAGCCAGAGAACUCCUCUCCCACUCUAAAUACUCCCCAGAUGACUUUGGCCCGUUUUUCUCUCCGGUGAACCCAGGAGAUCCCAGCCAAGGACCUGGACCUGGAACCGGAACCAAGGUCUAAGGAGGUGGAACUGAUCAGCAGAACCUCCAAGAAACUACGACGUAACCUUUAAUAAACCUUAAGUAAACAUGAAUCUGAGUAUCUGUGCUUGACUUUAACGCCAUUGAUUUAAACUGGUUUAGUUUGACUUUAAACAGCUGGUUUUCUUAAACUAUCAAGCAGCCGUUCCAAUAAUUCUGGCUGCUGUAGUUUAAAGUCUCUCAGGUGUUUCUCCUGCAUCUUAUCAGCUCAGAGGUAAGAAAAUGGAGGAUGACCUGGAACAAAUGACACCGUGUCUGGGACCAAAUGCAGCUAUAGUGAAGAACCUGACAGUAAAGUGACUCUAAAGCGUCUUGUGUAGAUGAGUAGUUCUACUGAAUUUGUUCUGACCAUUAAACCCUAGACCUCUCCUUCCUUGGUUGGAGUUCUGUUCUCAGCUGAUCUAGUAAACUGGAAUUGUGACCAAAGUAAACCAUGAAUCUGAGUUUGUCUGACUUGAACUUUACUGAAGGUUUAAAUGAGUUUUAACUCUUUAAACGGUUGGUUUUCUUCAAUUCUCCUGAAGUUAUCUUUAACUGGCUGCUCCUGUAGUUUAACAUUGCCAUGAAGGUAUUUGAGCUACAAAUCAGGAGAACAAGGGUGAAAACUCUGCUUUUCUGGGACCAAAUAAAGCAGUUCGCUUAAAAGUGAUGUUUUUCUGUGUAGAUUAAUGGACUAAAGUGGUUUUUCC